UACAGAGGUCUCAAGCGUUGUUCGGAUUCAUUGGGCGUAAAGGGUGCGUAGGUGGCAUGGUCAGUCGGAUGUGAAAUCCCGGGGCUCAACCCCGGAACUGCAUUCGAUACUGCCAGGCUAGAGUGCUGGAGAGGAGAUUGGAAUUUACGGUGUAGCAGUGAAAUUCGUAGAUAUUCGCAAGAACACCAGUGGCGAAGGCGGCUCACUGGCCCGGUACUGACGCUGAGGUGCGAAAGCGUGGGGAGCAAACAGG
rnacentral:rRNA from 1 species